GGAGUUGUAGCUCAGAGGUAGAGUGCUUGCCUCAUUUGUAUGAGGCACUGGGUUUGAUUCCCGGCAUCAAUA
rnacentral:tRNA from 1 species